UGAGGAAUAUUGCUCAAUGGGCGAAAGCCUGAAGCAGCAACGCCGCGUGGGCGAAGAAGGUUUUCGGAUCGUAAAGCCCUUUUCUGUGUGACGAGAACGGACGGUAGCACAGGAAUAAGUGUCGGCUAACUACGUGCCAGCAGCCGCGGUAAAACGUAGGACGCAAGCAUUAUCCGGAAUUACUGGGCGUAAAGAGCAAGCAGGCGGUUGGAUAAGUCAAUUAUGAAAGCUCUCGGCUAAACUGGGAGAGGAUAGUUGAUACUGUUCGACUAGAGUUGAGAAGAGGAACGUAGAAUUCCGCGUGUAGUGGUGAAAUGCGUAGAUAUGCGGAGGAAUACCAGAGGCGAAGGCGACGUUCUGGUCUCAAACUGACGCUGAGGUGCGAAAGCAUGGGUAGCGAACGGG
rnacentral:rRNA from 1 species